rnacentral:rRNA from 1 species
UACAGAGGGGGCAAGCGUUAUUCGGAAUUAUUGGGCGUAAAGGGCGCGUAGGCGGUUCUUCAAGUCUCUCGUGAAAUCCCUCGGCUUAACUGAGGACGUGCGGGAGAUACUGAAGGGCUUGAGUCCGGAAGAGGGUGGUGGAAUUCCCAGUGUAGCGGUGAAAUGCGCAGAUAUCAGGAGGAACACCAGCAGCGAAGGCGGCGCUCUGGGCUGGAACUGACGCUGAGGAGCGAAAGCGUGGGUAGCAAACAGG